GGUCCAGUAGUAUAGCGGUAGAAUUCUCGCUUAGGGAUUGGCAUUGUCCUCCCAAGUGAUUGCGCGGUUGCGUGCGGCCCGGGUUCGAGUCCCGGCUGGACCC